GUGCCUCAUUGCAUGUGCACAGGACCUUGUCUGUAGAAGUUUCCUCACUGCAGAGUGCUUGGUGACACAGAAAUGUACGAGUGUAUUAGGGAGAGGAGGGAGGCAAGCUGGAAAAUGGGCUGCAGUGUUUUGACCUGGAUACAAUAAGCACCCAUACAUGAGAUGAAACAGCAGUCCUGAGAAAGUACUUUGGUCUGAUGUCAAGUUUGGGUGGAUUUAAACCCCCUGCAUCCAAGUAAGUCACAUACCAAAAGACUGUCCCUGAUUUAUACAGGGAAGGCUAGUUAAGCCUCUUUAUAUUUAAAAUAAUAAACCAAUGCCAUAUUUACUGCCACUUCAUGGCAGUAAAUAACUACUUUUACAAGUAGUUCAAUUCUUAUCUGUGUUUCUGCAGACAUAAUUUUCUGCUUCUAUGGUAUUUCUUUGUCUGGAGCGGGAGGAUGGUCCAGCUUUCUCUCCUGUGCAACACCUCAUAUGACUAGCCUGAAUACUGAUUUGAAUGUACAGAAUUGAAAUAUUCUGGUCCAAAUCCAUUCCCUAGCAGUCAAUUGGGAUAGGAGAGAUAGGGUAAAUAUCUGCUUACCGGACGGCAGAUUUUUUUUCUUACUAUUUGCAUUAAAAAUAUUAUCUCAGUUAGGGAUACUUCUGCCUACCAAUUGUAUGGCCAUUCACAGCUCAAGGGCAGCUCUGCUAUUAGCCACAACAUAACAGAGCUUUCUAUACAUCAAAUGAAUUUUCAGCUCGAAACAGUAAUCAAAUCAAAAUAGCACUGACAGAACAAACCAAUGACUCCAUGCUAAGACACUAUUAAACCAUAGUGACUAAUAGCAGAAACUAUCUUGUCUCCUUUCUGACUCACUGAUAUCUUGUUUUCAGGUUACCUAUUUGCCAAGUCCAUAUAAUUCCAGAAGGAUAGCCAUUCCCCUACCAUAUACCCAAGGAUGAUGGUAUCAAUAUCCACAGCAUGUGAUUCAAACCCUCAAUGACUGCAAUGCACAAUGCAAGGAGAGAUUCGGAGGCUGGAAUAGGGGCUGCUGCUUCCACAGGAGAACAGCUCUUGAGGCUUCAAAGUGAGGUACACCAUGGAACAGAACUGGUGGUAAAUGCCAGACUCCUAGCAAGCACUGGACCUGCUGUGCCUGCCCCAACCCAGCUAAGCCUGUGUCUGCACUGGCACUUCAGUUGCUCUCAGUUGGCAUCUGACAGUACCUCUGCCACCAGCAGAUAACCAAACAGGAAACAUGUGGAAUAUGAAAAAAACCAACAACAACAAAAUGCAAAUACAAACAGACAAAAAACCCCACCAUCAUCAAAAACCUAAGGAAAAAGAAAAGGGUCAAAUAAGAAAUUGCACAUGAGAGCUUCCAGCAGGAAAAAAAAAAAAAAGAUGUAUUCUAUCAGAAAUUUUGAAAGAAACCAAAUUUCCAGCAUCCUUUACCAAACAAUACUUUGUUUGUUUAGAGAAGCAUACAGUAAUAGAAACUGUAUUUCAUGCAGGAAAUUCUAAUUUUAUUUUUUUUUAAAAAAAAAGAAGGUUAUUUGAGCAGCAGAAACCAAACAGGGUUUGAUUCCAAAACAGGAACAUUUACCUUUGUAAGAAUAAGAAAAACAGUGUUUGUACUUUUUUUUUUGAGGUCUUUUAGGAAAUAAGGGAUACCUGCCAUUCACUCCAAGGAUUGUAUAGAAUUUAGCUGCCAGGCUGCACAAAUAACAGAAAAUUUCCUGCUGGCAUAUGUUUUAUAUUUGCAACGUCACUGUUACUUGGCACAUCUGGCCAAUGUCAAAAAUGCCCAUUUCUGAUAUCUCUUGAAAACCAACCAUCUGUGAUGCAAUAUGUAAAGUAUCCAUAAAUUGACUAAACUUCAUUAAACAAGAAUGAUAAGGAACAUUGUGAUGUGUGUAUACAUUUAUCAGUAGAAAGAACAGGACACAUGCCAGCUUCUUCAAGGGGAAUGGACAAAAGUACAAUGAGAGAAAACAAAGGAGCUACACAGAAUAUUGCUAGUUUGCAAAGUAUCAGUAAAAUCUAAGCAAUUUAUCAGCCUACCCUUCACCAAUUUUCAAUAGCUUCCAG
ensembl:lncRNA